rnacentral:rRNA from 1 species
AAACAUCGCCUCCUGCAACACCACAUAUAGGAGGUCCAACCUGCCCAGUGACUACAAGUUCAACGGCCGCGGUAUUUUGACCGUGCAAAGGUAGCGCAAUCACUUGUCCCUUAAAUAGAGACCUGUAUGAAUGGCCAAACGAAGGCUUAACUGUCUCCCCUUUCAAGUCAGUGAAAUUGAUCUACCCGUGCAGAAGCGGAUAUAAUAAUACAAGACGAGAAGACCCUUUGGAGCUUAAGGUACAAGACCCAACCACGUCAAACAACUCAAUAAAAAGCAAAAACUUUGUGGACAUGGGACUCUACCUUCGGUUGGGGCGACCACGGAGAAAAACAAAACCUCCAAGUGGACUGGGACAACUUUCCUAAAACCAAGAGAGGCAUCUCUAAGCCACAGAAUAUCUGACCAAAUAUGAUCCGGUAACCAAAACCGAUCAACGAACCAAGUUACCCUAGGGAUAACAGCGCAAUCCCCUCCCAGAGUCCAUAUCGACGAGGGGGUUUACGACCUCGAUGUUGGAUCAGGACACCCUAAUGGUGCAGCCGCUAUUAAGGGUUCGUUUGUUCAACGAUUAAAGUCCUACGUGA